UACGUAGGGGGCAAGCGUUAUCCGGAAUCAUUGGGCGUAAAGCGCGUGUAGGCGGUUCCGUAAGUCCGCUCUGAAAGCCCAGGGCUCAACCCUGGGAGGCGGGUGGAUACUACGGAACUGGAGUACGGAAGAGGAGAUUGGAAUUCCUGGUGUAGCGGUGAAAUGCGCAGAUAUCAGGAGGAACACCAACAGCGAAGGCAGAUCUCUGGGACGUUACUGACGCUGAGACGCGAAAGCGUGGGUAGCAAACAGG
rnacentral:rRNA from 1 species